rnacentral:rRNA from 1 species
ACUUUUGGAUUUAAUUAUAAUUUUAGUAGGCUUAGCUUUCACUGAAAUAUAAAAGGUUGAUUAUCGUAAGAGAAUAGAUUUGUUUAUUUAUAGGGUAAAGUACAGAGAUGGAAAAUUUCUAAGUAAGGGUAAGAAGAAUUUAUUUUUUGUACCUUGUGUAUCAGGGUUUACUAAAAAAAGUUUAUUUAGUUUUCUCGAAUUAUGAAGAGCUAUAGGUUUAUAUUUAUUAGUGUAGCAUAAUUAUUAUAAAUAAGCCUAUAGAAAUGAAACGUUAUUCGUUUCAUAAUAUAUCUAGUUUUCUAAGAAAUUAAUAUAAUUUAGUAUUUAUUGACUAUUAUAGUGAUUUUAAACUUUAAUAUUGAUAAGUAAAAAUAAUUAAAGGGAUGAGCUUUUAAUUAGACUACUAAAAUUUAAUAUUUAAUGAUAAUAAGUAGGAUUAGAAUUUUCCAUUUUUGAAAGGAUGUUAUAAUUAGUUAUGUCAUAAGAAUUAUUUAUUAAAAAUUUAGGUUGAUUAUUAGGAUAAAUUCUUAAAUUUAGUAUGAUUUGGAAUAAUGGUAAAAUUAGUAAAAUUGAAUUGUAGGCGUAUUGGAUUAAGCAAGGUUAUUAUAAGGAACUCGGCAAUUAAUUUCUCACCUGUUUAUUAAAAACAUGGCUUUUUGUGAAUUGUUUAAGGUCUGGCCUGCUCAAUGAUGGUUAAUUGAAUAGCCGCAGUAUUUUGACUGUGCAAAGGUAGCAUAAUCAUUAGUUUUUUAAUUGAAAGCUGGAAUGAAUGGUCGGAUGAGGAAAUUACUGUCUCAUAGGUAAUUUGGAUUGAAUUUUAUUUUUGAGUAAAAAAGCUCAAAUUUUAUAUAAAGACGAGAAGACCCUAUAGAGUUUAAUAAGUUAAGAUAUAUAAGGAUUUAGGAUUUAAAUUUUUUGUAUUGAUUCUUAUUUGGUUGGGGUGACACGGGAAUUGGUUGAACUUCUCUAUAUUAUGACACUGAUUAGUGAUUAAUUGAUCCUUUAUUUAAGAUUAAAAGAAUAAAUUACCUUAGGGAUAACAGCGUUAUCUUUUCAGAGAGUUCUAAUCGAUGAAGAGGAUUGCGACCUCGAUGUUGGAUUAAAGUUAAUUUUCGGUGCAGAAGCUGAAAUAUUAAGUCUGUUCGACUUUUGAAACUUUACAUGAUCUGAGUUUAAACCGGCGUGAGCCAGGUUGGUUUCUAUCUUUUAUAGAUAAAAUAUUUUAGUACGAAAGGACCAAAUAUUUGAAUUAAAUUUUCUUAUUAGAAUUAAAAUG